AGAGUUUGAUUCUGGCUCAGGAUGAACGCUAGGCGGCAGGCCUAAUACAUGCAAGUCGAACGGGAAGGGCUCGUUCGGGGGCCCUGAGAGUGGCGCACGGGUGCGCAACGCGUAUGCAACCCAACCCCCGACGGGCGGAUAGCCGGUGGAAACGCCGGAUAAUACGCCAUGGUUCCGUGUGAGGGCAUCCUCACAUGGAUAAAGCCGAGAGGCGGUCGGGGACGGGCAUGCGUCCCAUUAGGUAGUCGGCGGGGUGACGGCCCACCGAGCCCGUGAUGGGUAGGGGAUCUGAGAGGACCGGUCCCCCACACUGGUACUGAGACACGGACCAGACUCCUGCGGGAGGCAGCAGGUAAGGGAUAUUGGUCAAUGGGUCGGAAGACUGAACCAGCCAAUGCCGCGUGGAGGGAAUGACGGCCCGUACGGGUCGUGAACCUUCUUUUAGUUCGGGGACAAGGACUUCCACGGGAUGGGAGUUUGAGGGUACCGAAGGAAUAAGCGUCGGCUAACUCCGUGCCAGCAGCCGC
rnacentral:rRNA from 1 species